GACGCAACAGAAGAACCCACUUCAACAUGGUGUGUGACGUCACAGAGGAUCAAGCGGACCAUAACGUAAAUCAAGAAUGAAGAAAAGUCCGCGAAUAAAGCUGCCGAAGAAAAGCGCAAG